AUGAAGUCGAGGACGUUUGAGACCGAGAUCAGAAAGAAACGGCGGAGAUCUAUCAGAGAUGGUGUUACAGCGCCGCGUUUUGUUUUCAAGAGAAGAAGUGAACGACGUAAGCAAAGAGAAGAGGCCGCGCCGGUGAUGAGGAGAAGAGAGAAGGAGACGGCAACGCGAGGACGAAAAGGCGGAGUCGCCGCCGCUGUUCUACGGAGAAGAAGGACGAAACAUUUUCUCUAA